rnacentral:rRNA from 1 species
UACGUAGGGUGCGAGUGUUAAUCGGAAUUACUGGGCGUAAAGCGUGCGCAGGCGGUUUUGUAAGCCAGAUGUGAAAGCCCCGGGCUUAACCUGGGAAUGGCAUUUGGGACUGCAAGGCUGGAGUGUGGCAGAGGAGACUGGAAUUCCUGGUGUAGCAGUGAAAUGCGUAGAUAUCAGGAGGAAUACCGAUGGCGAAGGCAGGUCUCUGGGCUGACACUGACGCUCAUGCACGAAAGCGUGGGGAGCAAACAGG